rnacentral:rRNA from 2 species
GCCCCGGUAAACGGCGGCCGUAACUAUAACGGUCCUAAGGUAGCGAAAUUCCUUGUCGGGUAAGUUCCGACCUGCACGAAUGGCGUAAUGAUGGCCAGGCUGUCUCCACCCGAGACUCAGUGAAAUUGAACUCGCUGUGAAGAUGCAGUGUACCCGCGGCAAGACGGAAAGACCCCGUGAACCUUUACUAUAGCUUGACACUGAACAUUGAGCCUUGAUGUGUAGGAUAGGUGGGAGGCUUUGAAGUGUGGACGCCAGUCUGCAUGGAGCCGACCUUGAAAUACCACCCUUUAAUGUUUGAUGUUCUAACGUUGGCCCGUAAUCCGGGUUGCGGACAGUGUCUGGUGGGUAGUUUGACUGGGGCGGUCUCCUCCUAAAGAGUAACGGAGGAGCACGAAGGUUGGCUAAUCCUGGUCGGACAUCAGGAGGUUAGUGCAAUGGCAUAAGCCAGCUUGACUGCGAGCGUGACGGCGCGAGCAGGUGCGAAAGCAGGUCAUAGUGAUCCGGUGGUUCUGAAUGGAAGGGCCAUCGCUCAACGGAUAAAAGGUACUCCGGGGAUAACAGGCUGAUACCGCCCAAGAGUUCAUAUCGACGGCGGUGUUUGGCACCUCGAUGUCGGCUCAUCACAUCCUGGGGCUGAAGUAGGUCCCAAGGGUAUGGCUGUUCGCCAUUUAAAGUGGUACGCGAGCUGGGUUUAGAACGUCGUGAGACAGUUCGGUCCCUAU